GCAGUUGUUAUUGCUCACUUUAAGAUAGGUAGGGUGAAUCUUGCUCUUGCUACCUUGUUUGUAUACCAGUGGUCAGGGGAAGCCCAGGAGUCAGUGGUUCUUUGGAGAAGAGCCAGAAGGGAACUUGUUUUUGGAAAGGCUUGUGUGGGUAGCAGAUGAGCUUGGCACAGAACUGGUCAGCAGAACAGCCGGGAAGAAUCUGGGCAGCGUGACCUGGCUUGGCUGCUGCACUAUGCUGGUUGCUCCAGUUUUAAGAAAUAAAUGCUGUGUCCCUGGACAAAGCCCACAGAUAAUGCCAAGGCCAGGAGAUUCCUCUGAAGAACUUGCUGGCAGCUUGAGAUUUUACCUUUAAUAGACCUGGAGAUUCCAAGCACGCUCGCUUACAGAAGUGCUACAAAGAAACAAAUGGCAGUAGCUGUGUAUAAUCAGCAAGUUCGUUCAUAGAUCUUAAGAUAUAAAACAUUAUCAGAUGUUAUGCUUUAAAGAAAUGUGAUGCAAUUUGUCUUAUGGUCUGUGCUUCUCAAGUGUUUGUCUACACUAAAUCUUCAUGGUUGUUUUUUUCAAAGAGCUCUGAUUUCUAGGAACUUGAAGGAUGCUCUUUAAAACUUGUCAGUGGCAUGAGUCUGUCCUGCUUUCCACAAUUCUUUGGUGAGCAAAGCUGGCGAAAAUUAUGCAUUUGAAGAUACAAUGUGAAAGUCUUGACUACUGGUGGAGUGAAAAUAUAAUCAAAAUCUGCAAUUCAUUUUUUCCUGUUUCCAACCCAUUCUAUGGUUGGUUGAAAUAUUUAAAAUAAUGAAUUUUUGACAGCUAAAUUAGGAUAGAAAGUAAAGAAAAAGGGAAAUGUUGUCUUUUUGCAUGCAUUGGCUGUGUUUACCGGCCAUCUCUAGAGGGAGACCAAAUUGUUCUUAACUGGCUGCACUAGGACUCAGUAUAUGCUCAUCUCUAUGAUUAAAACCAUCCAAACUACUGAACCUACUGAAGGAGACCCUUCUUAGAUUUGGGGCUUUGGUGUUUUUUGUUGUUGAUUUGUGUUGCUUUUUUGUUUGUUUGUUUGUUCUGUUUUUCUUAGUUGUGUUUUUUAUUAUUUUUGAAUCAAAUAAGUCUUUUGAAAAAACAAAACAAAACAAUGCAUUAUUAACAUAGCUUUACUAUUUGCUCAGUCAAACUUUUAGACAUAUUGUUUGAUAUAGAUUACAGGACAGCCUUGACUGAGACCCUUAGUAUCCUAUACUGGAGCACACAUUACAUGCAAUUUUACUAUUUUUUUGUAUUGUAGGGUAAAUUGUUGUGCUGUAGAACUGUCCUCCACAUACUUGGAAUGUAAUAACUCCAAUGAAAAAGUGGAAAUGCCUCAAAUUCCUAACCGUUCUACUUGUUUAGGCCCAUUCAGAUGAAAUGGCAGUCAACAUCUGUCCAGAUGCAGUAGCAUUUGUAAUUGAAACAAAAUAGAGAGCAGCAAUACUUCACUGCUAAUUUUUACUGGCUGCAGUCUUCCUUCAAAGGCAGCAGAAGGAAAUGGAAAAGGAGGGAAAGUGCCGAAGUCACAUCUGUACCUAACUGUGACUAACAUUAUCUUUUAUGUUAGAUCAUUAGCAUACCCAGGAAAAAAACACUGGUGUUUGGUGCCAGCUGUCUGCUUAUUACAGCAAAGGAACUGGGAGAAGACACUGGGAAUGAAAUAAGCACUUAAAGGGAUACCGUACUUUUGCAUUAUUAAGGUCUUUAGGUAUUACCAGCAUUGCUUUGGGCAGGAGGCAUCUUGGUGUGGAGCUGGGAAGCAUGGGGUAAUGUCUUAGUACCACUCAGUUGUAACUUGCAGAACCUGCUGCCAAAGGGAGCCAAAGGCAGAUGCAACACUUUGUCAGAGUGUUCCAUGCCAGCAGUGGUUAUAAAGUGGUAUGGGCUGGUGAGGAAUGGAGGGAGGCCAUCAGUGGCUCACCUAUGGAUUGAUGAUUGCAGAAGAGACAUUUUGGCCAUCUGGGUCAGUGGACAGAGAGCCUGAUGUGCACAAAUACCUUGCUAAUUUAAGCAAAGGCAAAAAAAAAAAAAUUGAAUGAAGAGGGUAAAAGUGGUAGUAAGACUCGGGAUGUGCCCUGGCAGUGGGCAUCCCAGUAUAGCAUUUGGUUUGUUCAGUGAAGAAACUCAUUAAGCCCAAAGUUUGAUCAAUAUUUAAUGCAAGAGAUUGUGUUUUGAUGCUGGUUUAAAACAAAGUAGUGAAUGUGUACUCUUAUCUCUGUGCUUUUCACAGAUAUGAAUGAUGGCAGAUUUUAAUAUUAUAUUCAAAGUUACAGAGGUAAAGAAUGUGUGCAGUAUAGGAUGCAGCCCAUGAUGUGGGAUGUGCUUGAGAAGUGCAUAAUAAUAAGAUCUUAUGUUAACAGCCUAAACCAUUGACUAUAUCUGCUUUGGUAUGAAGAACAGCACCACUGACUGAACUUACAUUCACAUUGUAGCUGAAGUCAGGAACAGAUUCACCACAUGACUGUUUUUAGCCGAGCAGCUUCUGAAUUAUGUGUCUUUAAUUGCUUCAGAUUCCUGUUAUUGAUCUCUCAUGUCAAAAUAAUUGAACUUUAUGGCCAAAUUCUGAUGCUUAUUGAGAAAUCAUAUAAUUACUUCCAACCAUCUGUGAGUCAAUAAAAGUUGAGUACAUACCACUACUCAGAUUGCUUGAUGCAAACAUUUCUCUCCAAGUAACCACAAGAUCUACAAUACAUUAAUAAAUCUAGCAAAGCACAGUUGUAGGUUGCAUAAUUGUAUCUCCUAAUACUUGUAAUAAUAUAAAUAUGUUAUGCAUUAGUAGAUAAAAUACCCCUACUUCAACCCCAACCCUGCAACACAGGGAGAGUGCUGUGCCUGCAGAGAGCCACCAGCACAGGUGCAGCACUGUGCUGACAUGCACAGCAGGAAUCAAAAUCUUUGUGGCCAAGCAAACACUACAAAGUACUGGGAACCAGCAUGUUUUAUCACACUGAGGCUGAUGGGGACAUGUCCUAGAAGUUCACACCUGUCUAGAAAAUCCUAUUCCACGUAUCUCUUUUUUUUUUUAGCUUUGCCUUUACUGGUUUGUUUACACCAAUGAACUGUCUGGAGCCUGUAUCCUUGCUCUUCUUCAAAGAGAGUGUUAGAGUAGACGUGCACAUGCAGUGUCUUCUUCAAAAACCUCAUACUUCUACCAUUUCACAAAACCCCAACAUUUUUGUUGCCUACAGGAUGGUGAAAAUUAAACAGUUCUAAUGCUUUUGAACAAGCUCCUUAAGAAGUGCCCUGAUAACCUGAAGCUUUUUUCUAGAAUGGUUUCGUGAAGAAUUUUCACACCUCAUUGCUGAUGGUAAUAGACUACAUAGUGUCACACACACACACAGCUGGCAAGAUACUUACUUGAGUGAUAAAAAAUGUUUUAUGUGAAGGUAAUGAAAGCUUUGUCUUGCCUACUUGAAUAGCUUUAGCUGCCAAUUUCUAGACCAAAUCCUAUCUGAGAAAGGACAUUAGCUUUACUGCAUCUUGUUUCCUAUGUAAUCAUUAUGCUGCUAGCACUGGUUUUAUUCACUCCUGUAUUUCUUUUAAUAUUGUUUUAGUAAUUCUCCUUCCUUAUGAGGAAGGGAGCAUUAAUCAGCCAAGGCAUUUAGCACCUAUUUACAUUAAUAUAUAGACAAUGCAGUGAUUUAGAAUUCUUUACACCUUUCUGCAGCUUUUUCACUAGAUUUCUUAAUGCCUUGAGGAUGCCUUUCCUCAUGACACUUUACAACAAACCUUUGCAAAAUGAAUAGCUUUCAUUAUGAAAUCAAUGAUAUUCCUUCUAAACUUCAGGGGCAAUGUCAAAGAAAAGCUACUCUAAUUGCUAAUGCUGAGAAGUUUUUAUGACCAAACUCUACUUUCCAGAUGUCAGAGCAAUGCAGUCAUCACCUUCUUCAGCACUUUUGCCCUCCCUUGUCACCGUGGUUCUCUUUCUCAAUAAUGUGAUUGUCAGCUAUGGCUUUUUCUAUUCUUACUUCUUUACUCUGCUUUCUGUUCUGAUUCAACCUUAAAGCUACCCUUUUCAGCAGAAACAGUCUGAAGUCUACAGUUGUGACUCUGCAUAGCAGGAACCUCUGACCACUGGCCUCUCUGAAGCAUAAUUAUACAGGCAAAUUCUAAUUCUGAAGCAUAGGAAGUAGUUAAGAACUUGCACGUUUAUUUUAAUUCCAGAUGUAUAUUUUGACAUUUAUUUUUAGGAAGCUCAACUGUACAGACACAAAAUAGUGGCUGUGAUCAGCCCAGUUUUGGCUGGUCUGGGUUAGUGGGCAGAGUGCCUGUUAUUGCAUAUAAACAUGUUGCUAAUAUGGGGAAAAAAACAAAGAGGGUAAAGAUAGUAGUACUGCCUCUGCUACUGAUACAGCCCUUGUAGCCCUUGUUCUUACACAGCUUAAGAAAGCUACAAUACUGUAACAUGGAAAUUCUGCUUUGCAUGUCUGUAGGAAACGUAGACUCAUAGGUUUGAUCAAAGGCUUAUAAACUAAUAGGUUAGAAGUACUUGGCAUCUGUUCAUCAAAUGCAGGUAGUGUUUGGUCCAACAAAUGCAAGUCUCUCUUGGAGAGACAAGAGUUUUGUCUACUUCCAUUUUUGAAGUUAAUACUUACAUUUACCUCUGAAUUACAAGAAAAUGCAACUGAAAUCCUAAAAAUUUGUCAGCGCUUUGAUAUUCUAUUGAUUGAAACCAGUUUAACUUGUUUCAUCCCUUUUUAGUACAGAAAUAGACAUCUGAGUCAUUAAUUUGUUUGCCCUCUUUGAGGUUGUUGAAAUGUAAAAGAGAUGAGUUAGCAGCCCUUGGCAGUGGGGGCAUUGAUGGAGAUGCUGACAGACUUUAUUUAUAGUGUUGCUGCACUACCAGGCAUUACUAUAGUACAAUUCAAUCAGGGAAGUUACUUUGAUUUCUUCAAGUAAUAGCUGUAGUUAAACAGCUUUCUAAAGCUCCUUGUAUCACCACAGUGCUUAGAUGAUUGAAUUUUUAUCAUAACAAAAGUAUCAUAGCAGUGGUUAUCCUUAAGCUCUGUUUCACCUCAGAGGCAUAGAAUUGUCUUAUCUCAUUCCCCGUCUUAACUACUUUCAAUGUACUGACAAGCACAACUGACCAAUUAAUAGAACAUUUUCUAGUCUUAUCUCAUUCGUUAUCCAUGAUGCUCUUCCAUGUUGUAAUUACUUUUCAAUUUUUCAUGACCCAAAACAGUAGAUGUACACAGUGAAUACAAAUAGCAAAUUGAUUAAAUGUAACAUGCAUUGUAGCACCGAAGAGAUUGUCAUUUGUUAUUAACGAGAGAGAUUUGUCAGGUUCUUCUGAAAAGGCUUGUGACACACAGCAAUCCAGACCGAAUAACUGCAAGACUGCAGCUGACCUUCAGCUCAUUAAUUGUAUGCAAGUAAAAUCGGGAAGACACACGAUUUUCAAGACAAUUUCAAAUUUCUCUAUUUCCCUUUUUUGGUGCCAUCUCAACAUUUUAAAGAUUAAUUUCAAAAAACACAAGUCAGGUUAUCAGGUAAUUUUGUGCUAAAUGCGGGGGGGUGGUGGGGGGGGCAUUGUAAGGCACUGAAUUUCAAGGCCAAAGCCAUUUUGUUGGUGGUAAAACACUGAUUCUUACACAGAUGAAACUGAGGCCUUUGCCUGAGCCAUUGUGGCCAGCAGCUCAGUAGUCAGAGAGCUCGUGCAAGAAGUGCAAAAAAGUGGUGUUCAGGUGUUUUUGCCUGAUUUUAUCAACACACAAAAUAUAUGCUUUUCCUUUCUCAUCCUUACUGUGCCAGCUAGCUGUCAGUUAACAGACUGCUCCAAAGCCUUGUUGAAUUGCUCCUGAUCAAGUUGGUUCAUUUUACAUAAGUUAAGUAUCCAUUGACUAUGCACUGGGGAAAGUAUUUUGGUGUAGCAGGGAGAGUUUAUCAUUUUGAGAAAUCUCUUUCUUGCCAACACUUGACAAGAAGUUUAUUUGAAAUCCAAAAGCUUUUUGUGAAAUGAGAAGUUUUCUUCACUGUACCGAGAACGUCAUUGAAUUUGUUAAUGAACAGCAAAGGAAGGUUCAAAAAUGAAAAUGGCAAUGCAGGAAAUUAUUUCCCAUUCUUGAACCAAGGGAGGUCUUGUUCCUUUGGUUCCAUCAAAUCCGUAGCACUCCCUUUGGAUACAGAUAGUCUUUGUUACAGUUGAAUAGCUCCAACAGCAUCAAAUAAGCUUUGCAUCUGCUAAAGCCUGCCUCCUGGUCAGCUUGUUCUAGCCAUGGGCCAUACUCAAUUUUGAAUUACAAAAAUAGGUUUUCUUUCAAAUUAUAUGUUACAGUGUGAACAUGUAUUAUUUACCUAAGUUUAACAAAUUAACUGGAGAUCAAACUGUGCAAACCUUGCUAUUCAAUUUCUCAGAAUUCUGCUUUCAUAAAGGAAUAUAGGGAUUUUAUGGGCAUCUUCUAAAACAAAAUUUUUGAUCAUAAAGCAUCUGAAGCAUUAAAUACAAUGUUAUGAACUUGUUAUACAUCUCAAGGUGAGGAGAAUCUUUGAAAUGUAUCCUGAAAUUAGAGACUAUAUUUGCAUAAUUUAUACACUGAGUAUUCAUAAAAAUGACUACAAUUGAAAAUCACCUGUCAUCAAAAGUAAAAGCACAGAAACAAUGGCCAAGACUGAGGCAGGGAAAUAGUGUUAUGGAUGUUAUUUCCUAAAUAUUUUCUAAGGAACGGUUUCUACCAGUUACUGAGGAAAUUAAGGAAAAGUGACAAAGCAACAAUCAUUUCCAAGUAAUAGUUCUUUUUUCUUUUCAUUAUGUGUGCUGUCUGCCCUCAGAUCUCCUGCAUUGUUCAGAUUUCAAAACAUUUCCUGUUGUAAUAGACAAGCAAGAGACAUUCCACAUGGUAAGGAGGAGAGCUCUGCUCCUGCAGCAGUCUUACCUGGGGCAGCUCUGGAGUCUGCUGCUAGAUGCUGGCCUGAAUAGCCAGGGGAGUCUUCAUUACUUAGGGAUAAUUUUUCUAGGCUCAGAACUUGGCUUGGGUAAACCUGUGAAAACUGGGCUGUAAUUUAAUUGUAACGAGCUGCUUAUUCUAUUCGUUUUCUUUUCUUGCCUCCUGACUUCCUUAGCAGGACAGGAUUACUACCACUUGCCUUUGGAGCCACUUCUGGCUCAUCUGGUUCUUCCUCUCUGCCCUGUUCCUGCCAAAGGUUGUUUCAGGAGCACCUGUUUCAUCUUCUGCAAGGAUCUCAUAAUUGAGCAUGGGUCCUGAGUAGGAUUUACACACUUCCUCUGGAAACACAGGAAGCUUGUGUCAGUUCUGACUCUUUCACAGACACAUGUCAGCUUGUCAGGGACUAUUGUUUAUUAAUAAUUUAACAGAGGAAACCUGACAGGAUUGGUCUCUUGGUGAUACAACAAUAUGAAUAUUUAAUAAUGACAUGAUGAUACAUUUCUAUUAACACAGCUGGCAUUCUGCACUUAAGAAUGAUGGGAUAAUAGUUCUCUUUAUGACUACACAGUGAUUAAUCUAUUUAUGUAAUAGGUGAAUGUUCAAAGCUACAGUAAACAGUACAGAAAAGGCAGUGUAUUAUGACCAAAGUGGCAGAAAUCCCCAGUGAUUUUCCCAUAAAGUACUGGUAUUUGUGGACUGUGAAAGGUCUAUUUUCUCUGAGUUAGAUCUUUGCCUGUGCCAGUUGCGUGUACCCUCUCCUACUGCUUAUUCAUACUUUACUAGCCUGAAGAGAAACGAAAUAGAAGCUCUUUCUUUGCCAUGCAGUUAAUUAGCUGCUGGGGCAUUCUCUUCAAUGAUUCAAGUGCACUCUGUCCAAGAGGUUAGUCUGACCCUGCUCAUCAUCACAUAGCAUCAGUGUUGAUGGUUGCUGCUUUUUACCUAUUGAAAACUCAUCUUUCAGUACUUGGGUGCCAGUAUGGACUGACAUGACUCUAUCCUGUACAGGAUUUCACUUCUCCAGUGAGUACGUCUCUUUUAAAUCAUAGAAUCAUAGAAUCCUUUGAGUUGGAAGGGACCCUUAAAGGUCAUCUAAUUCAACUCCAAAUCUGAAUGGCAAUUCUACUGAGUUUUAAACUGCUCAUUUAUAGCUUUAUGACAAAGAAACGGCAAAGGAGUCAUGCAAGAAUUUAAGCUAAGGAUGGACAAAAAGAAUCAGAAAGCAUAGGGACACUCCAUCAUAACUCCUAAAUAACUCCUAAACUUUUUGUGGAAUGCAAACAUCUCCCUAGGCUGCGUAGAGAAAGGGAAAGGAGGAGUCUGAUUGCCAGCAGCUCAGUCUUCCUCCUCCUCUUACUUGCUCUGGCAGGUGACAGGAGGAAGGCUCAGCAGCACAGUUCAUAAAUACCUGCCCCAUUGCAUCUCUUCCAAAGUCCUUAAAAUAUCACCUGGGGAAAGUCCAUUAACCUGAUUCCACAUUAGAAAAGAGAGGAAGAUUAUAAGUUGUUCCACUGACUGCUGUGGGAGACUUUAUGGAACAGGAUAUAGAUUGCUAAAAUUAAGGAAUCUUAAACUCCCCAAAAUUACUGGGAGGAAGAGAAAAAACAAACUUUGUCGUUCUCUUUCUCUCUUUUCCAUUUAUUAGCAUUUUCUUACGUAUAAAGUUGUGCAGUUGACAUGAACAGGAAACAAUAUAUUUUUACCUUUAAAAUACCUAUUUGAUUUGCCUAUAAAACUCAUUAUUUUCUUGUCUUCCUAAAUGGUAUUGAACACAGGUUUUUGAAACUGGACCUGAUUCAGGUCAUAGUUGAAAAUUUGUUUAAAGUCUUUUUUCUCUCAAUUCUGUGUUUGAAUUUAUGUAAAUGACAAAACCAAGCCAUCAGUUUGUAACUUUAUGAUCAAAAGUACUGCUUUUUCUCUGCUUAUUUUUCUUACUUUUCUGUUCAGAUCUUUGUUCAGUAACUCAUGCCAGUUCUCAGUAUAUUGGAGCAGAAGUACUCCAAUUAAAUAAGGCACUUUUCUACAACCAUGCCUCAAAAAUCUGUGCUGGUGAGUUCAAGUGGGGGUAAACUGGGCAUUGUACAGCAAGGACAGGCAUGCUCUCAGCUGUGCACAGAGACAUGGAACUUGUUCAGUGCGGAAAAGCAGGUAGUUUAGCAUAUACAUAGGUUGAUACACUUAAUACAAGGCCUGCUAUAUACUGCCUCUGAGCUGCUUUGAAAUCUGGGGCUCACAGGCUUAUGCUAGCAAUGCAUCUAAUAUAUGUGCAAACAUAAAAGUAGUCUUUCCCUCCCUUUCUUCUCAACUUAGAGGAAUAUUCUAAUUAGUUAUUGCAGGCAGGAGAAGAAAGGGAAAAAUUUGGAACAAGGGAAAUAUGUGACUGUUGACUUUGCAGUAGCCCUGUCAAAAAAAUGUAUUCUACUUUUAAUACAUACCAUUUGGAAGCAAAGCCCCUUUUAAAAUGCUUCAGAACUCAUGUCCUUUUUAAUUGCCUGGAAUUCAUGAUGGCUGUGUGAGAAAGCCAUAAACAUAUACAAUCAUAAAAACACAUUUAGACAACCCAAACAGAAUCAGUGCCAUAUUAUUUUAGUUUAUUAUUCCUAGUGGAGUACAGAUUGGUCUUCCUACUUUGAUAUUUAUUUAUACCAAAGAACUACAAGAACAUAAAUGCCACUCUUGGGAUAAUCCUAAUGCUGGGGCUGAACAGAACACACAUUGCAUCUGUCUCAUUUGCAGUAAAGUGAAGGCGUGUUUAGGUGUAGUUCUGCUAAUGAAGGACAAAGUUGAAGGUCAAAUGUAGUCUUCAAAAUGAAUGUGUCAUCACGAAACUGAGAGAACUGCAUUAAGAAGUUUUCUUAAAAUAUCAAAUAAUGAAGAAAGGGAAAGGAAGAUGUAUCUCUUUGGUUUUAUUAUUCCUUUUUCUUUGAAGCCACUUAUGGAUUCUGCUCAAGACUUUAGUGCUCAUAUGAAAAAUUAAUGAUGGGUUUUUGCUAGACAGAAAGCCUUCUUAUUUUGCACAUGAUUAACAAAGAAAACUCAAUGCACAAGUGAGAUACGCAGCAGGGGGUGGUUCUCUCGAAGGCCAGCUCACAGCUUCACACCAGAACUUUUAUUGACAUGGGAAAAUACCCACUUUUAUCCAAAGACAGUUAAACAGAUAGGAUAUGUGCAGGGCUGUACAUAAGAAUAACAAGGAACAGAUACUCAACAAAGGAAAAUGUCAACCAAAAUAAACAAACAGCCUAGCAGCAGGCUGACCCUGCACCAUGCCUGUGGGCUGUUUGGAGUCUACUGCAGAGCCAAGUGCAAUGUUAGUGUUUGCUAGUUAUUGUCAGGAAGUAGGUUAUCAGCUGAAAGGCUGGAGGGUGGCUUCAGACACUCUUCCCAUAGCAGAAGAAAAGCCAAGGCCAUGUAGGCAGAAUGUAUAAGCCAGAUCUUCCCCCUGUUCACGUGCUCCUUUGGUUUGAUGUUCCUCACCUACAAAGAUGUCAUUUGGAGGGGCUAGGGUACUUUUCUCACAGGUCUUUUCCCAUAUGUAAUAUCACAGCAUAAGGCCGUGUGAGCUUGUCCAACUCUAAGCAGCCUGGUUCCUGUGUAUUCCUUUCAAAUUUUAAACCUUCUUCUUUUUGUCUAGUCAGCUAACUUGGAGUAUCUUCUGGGGAUUCAGAAGGGCCAUCAGCUACCAGCACUCACAGGAAGAAAACCAGCCAAACAAGAUAUAAUUUUUACAAGUUUUAAUGGAAGUGCAGUGAGCUUUAUUCCUUUUAUUCAUUAGUUGUGUAUAUUUAUGAUUGUUCCCUAGUAAAGGAGGACCUUUAUAAAUAUUUGUUAAAUACAUUGAUGCACUACAAAGAGUUGAUUGGGGUUACAAAACUCAGGUCAGACUUAGAGUUUCAGAUGUCAAACAGGAAUAAAACAGAUCACCCCGGGUGAACUGGUCCAGAAAGCUUUUUUUUCCUUUUCUUGUUAUGCAGGCCAAUGGAAAAUGAUCCCCUAAAAUACUGCCAUCAUGACCUACAAGCUAUGUUUAUCUGCAGGCUCAAAAAGGAAUUGUUAGCUUUGAAAGUACUAUGUAUAAUUAUAUAUGAAAGGUGCCAAAUUAGUGUCAAAUGAACAAAAGUGACGUUCCAGAAAGCUGAUUUCAUUAAAGCUUCAUUCCUUGUAGCAAUAAUGAAAGUUUCCCAUGCUAUUUGUAGUGCCUCUUGCUUCUGAGGAAAGGAGAUGUGGUGAAAGUUAAAGCUGCUAAGAACUUCAGAAGGAGGCAAGGUAGUGUUUAUUUUGAAUAAUAAGUUGUUAUCUCAGAAUGAUAGAGAAUGAGUUAUAUUAGAUUUAAAAAGGCAUUAAGCUUCAAAUAGAGCACCUGAUAGCAGCACUUAUGAGCUUUUCCAAAAGGCUGCAUGUUUUGUCUAAUUUAGUUAUAAUUUGUUUGUGUGAGCAGUGGAAUUAUCAACAGUGGUGGCACUGAAAUGCAGUGAGUGGUGUACAGCUACAGACCCAGAGUGGCUGAAUGACUGAAGUGACCAACUGCCAUUUUCACAACAGUUAUGUGGCUUUCUUUCUUGUGGAUUUUUAGAUCAGAUCCCUGCAGGAACAGAAUGAGUGGAGUUUUUAUUUUGUUAUUAUGAAUGUUUUGAUAUUGCAGUAAUGAUUUUUUGAUAUGUGAUAAUAAAACCUUGAGAUUAUAGUAGUGGAAGCCUUGGAGUAGCUUUCAUAAUCUAUCGAUUUUGUGUUUCAUAGUGGUGAUUUUUUUUUCUUUGUCACCAUCAGUUGUUUGGUUUCUUUAUUUUUGUGGAUAUUCUCUCUGUGUUUUUGUCUAGCAGCAAGUGCUGCUACUUACAAAGGAUAUACAGAUGUUUACAUUACCCUAUCAAUUGCUACUAAACAAAUGCAGAGCAGCACAGCCCGAGUUUCAUACGACAUCAUCAUAUUGAGUGGGAGCUUUGCUUCAGAAAAAAGAAAGAAAAAAAAAGGCUCAGACCCUAUCUGAGAGCAGGUGGGGUGUUUUUGAUUGGUGAGAUUAUAUUACAGUCUGUAACUCAAGAUUUAGGCAAACAGUAUGUUUAAAGAAUUAAUAUAAUUCGUACUGCUCAAUUGUAAAAUCUCAACAACAGAAAUUGUGUUGCUGAACAUCCUGAAGAUGACAUAAUUGUAACUACAGCUGCAAAGUGCAGAACCAGAGGCUUGCCUACAAGAGCUGUGCCCUGUGCUCCUUGGAGCCUCUUGCUGAUGGAUGCCACCAGGCAUCCCUAAUGCACCCUCACCAGCUAAGAUGCAGUUGCUGCACUGGCUUGUCCAAACAGCCUUGUGCUGAUGAGCAGCAAUAGUGGAGUGUUGGUUUGUCCUUUGGCUGCUGCUGAAUGCUCAGUAACAGUGGGGAUUUGUGUCUCCUUCCUCUCUGUCACUGAAGGGAGCAAUGCAAAUAACUUGUGAGAGAAAAGCAAUAUUAUGUUUAUUGUUGCAAGAUAGCUGUUUAACAGAAUAGUAAUCAUAAAUAUGACACUGACAAGAUGGCAGGGUUCACACGAAACCAACUGUAUCUGGGGGUUAAGUUAGUUGCACACCUAAGGAUUUCCCCCUAUUAGAGUGCAGUACUCAUUGCAGUUAUGUUGGCUGUCAGCAGAUGAUUCUGAAACUUCAAGGAAUCUUCCCUGAGAAGGCUCAGGGGGAGCUCCCAAGCCACAGCCUGCUGUGGUCCCAGAGAGCUCCAAGAGGUCUUGCUUAGAGUCACUAUUUAUAGGAUCAUGAGAUGAUUGACUUUUAGAGAGUAGUUUUUCAUUAUUUUGGUCCUUUUUGAUUUUUGGCUAUGACAUAGCCAAAUGUCUUAGCACGUAAUUGCGCCUUCAUCAAUUAGCCUCGUCACCAGAGCUCUGGAUAUGGUUGGGCGAGAUCUGAUCAUCCCAUGCCCGUAGCCUAUAGCUAGCUGGGGGAUGAUGCAGGAUCAGGCUCCAUCAUACUCUGUAGGUAACAGGAAUGAUGCUGUGAUAGCUUGUAGACUUGCUAUAUAGAGAAAAAAGUAAUAGUCUUUUGUGAGAGCUGCUCCACCACACUCAACUCAUGAAUUCUUGCAGGUAUGCAUUUAUUUUUUGAGACAUGCAAUGCUUUUGUAUUUUGGCUGAAAUUUUCUCACACGAUAAAAUGUUUCUUUGAGGCAGUAUGAGAGAAAAACAAGGACAGACAGACAGACAGCAGUGACGUGACCCUCAUUUCCUUAGGAAACCAAGCUAAAAAAAAAACCUAACCCCAGACUCUUUGCUGAGGGCUCCUGCUGUCAUAUACUGUACUGGUUAAACCAACCAGGAGAGGAGGCUGGCAUCAGGAUCCCUCCCCCAGAUCAGGCCUAGAACAGAGAGCAGAGAAGAUUUCGAUUUCUGUUAUGUGCAGCAGCAGGGAGGUACAGGUGUGGAGCGAGCACGGAAGACGAAAGCCAUGCUUCCUCCCAGGGCCAUGCUCACCUACAUGCUGUAGUCCCUGAGAGGCAAUUUGUAAACAUUUAGGUGGGUGUUCAGUAUCUGCAUGACGUGACUCUAAAGCUGUAUUGAAGCUCUCCAGUCAAUUCACCAGUGACCUUGAGAGAUCCUACUGUGUGUGCUGGUGAUCGUGUAGUUGAUGUAUUUCCAUACGAGGCACUAAACCCUUCCGUAUUGGAAAAGUCAUUUGGUCUGUUAGAACUUGCAUGAAAAAAUACAAAUAUUUCAUAAGGACAACCUGGCAGAUUAUUCUCAGGCUAUUGAUUCCACAUUUUGUUCUGCUGAAAACCUGCUGCUAAACAGACCUCCCUACUGGAGAGACUGAGCAAAAUGGUCAUUAGAUGGAGAGGCUCUAGGGAUUUAUUGAUUAGACAUGAGAACACUAAUCAUGCAAUAGCAAAGAUCGAGCAUGCUGUUGUGAAGACUAUUUGCAUAAAAAGCUAACAUUUGAGUAUUGGGAAGCUAGAUGCUGUCAGAACAUUAACAUUAGCUGUCCCAGAUCUGGUCAUAUCCCUUGCUACAUCCAGCAGGGCAGCCAGUUCCUCAGGCUUCUCAUUUUCCAGCAUCUAAACAAACAAUAAGUUAGCAAAUAUAUUUGCUGUGCUAGGUAGAUAUUGAAAAUGAAAAUCCUAUCUCCAGCAAACCUACAGGAUAUUGUUUUGCCUCUCAAGCAUACUUGAAAAUAGCAUCAAUUUUGGAUUUUUGAAAUGGCUAACGAUUUCGUAUGACUCUCAUAAUCCAGAACUCAGUUUAAUUAAUUUCAAUCGGUUCUUGUAAUCAAAUUCUUGUAAACUUUCCUUCCUCCUGACAAAAUGCUGAUGUCAUCUUCAAGUAUUCCAAACGCAAAAAUGAGGAGGCCCUUAGAAUGAAGAGCAAAACUUUUCUAUGGUUUAUUCUUUCCCACUUCAGCCCUCUGAUUUUUUUUAAUGCAGUUCAUCAAGGAUACAGACUAAAAACGAGGACAGAAUCUUUCUACACUGUUUAUAGAUAAAUGCCAAAUUUUACACACAUUUAUAUGUGCCAUUUAUAACUCCAAGCUUUAUGACUUAAAAAAACAAACCAUGAAAUUUUAACACUCAUCAUCAAACCAGGCAACACUUGUAAGCUGUGUUUGCCACAAAACUUACCUGUAUGAGAUACUCUGAAGUUUCCACAUAGAUGAUUUCUGUCUUCUGUCAAUGUCAGCUAGUAGGGUUAGUCAUGAAAAACACCCACAAGCGUAUUCAUUGAGGACUUCACUUGAAGAACAGUGUAGAUAACCAGAAAAUAAAAUGUGCUACCAGAGAGGGUGUAGGUCAUCGGGGGGCCCUAACCACAGGCUCUGAGCAGAGCUCUGAAGAGUGUGCAGGUGUUUGUCAGGACAGGGGAAAGUCAGUCAGAGAAACAAAUGGAGGAAGGUUGUGUAUUUCAUAUCAUGUGGUCGGCCUUUGAGAGAGGUGCAACCUUCGUGUGCAAUUGUUAAGCACCACUGGUGAAAAUGCAUAGCUAAUGGUGGUGACUAUGUUGAAAAAUGGUGUUUUGUAGCUGAGUCCUACCAAAAAGGGCUAUUGUGCUCUCUGUGUCUGUUGUAAUUUCCAUGGAAAUAAAUGGGAGGCAUUACUUUCGAAGCAACCUCCUCAGAUGCCCUUGUGUAGCCACCUUGCAACCUAAACCUAAAUAUCACUACCUUUUCUAGAAGCAUCUAGAAGUAGAUGCUGAGACAAAUAACUUAGUAUUGUUUGUGCUAGGGGCUGGAGUCAAGGAAAAAUCUGGUCUGUAUUUCUGUACACAUUUGGAUGCAAAUGACACCGGCCCAGAAUUGCUGGAGCUUCCUGUGCUGCUAUGCUCUGAGGCAUGUUGGAAACAACCAGUUCUGAAUGAAUGUAUGAAACACUGCAGUGCCCAUGAUGUAGCUCCUCAAGUGCAAUAUGGCUUUGUUUAUAAAGGUAGAAAUCAAGAUAACCCAGACUGAGCUCUUUAUUAGAUUGGACUCCACAUGACUGUGGUACUUUGUACCUGGAGACUACAAGUCUCAAUUCCUUGCAGAUGGAAUUCAGCAAGGUAUCUUAAGGGCUGGUACCUCCACAAGGUACUUUACCAGGUAGGGUUCUGAAACUCAUCACUCCUUAAACGCCUGCUUGGCCUGCUGAGGGACUGGAGGAUUCAUUCCACAUCUGAUAAGAGGAAUCAAAUUGUCUGUUCAGUGGGAUAAUCUUUCUGUUGUCAGGAUGAAAAAUCUCAGAGGACUCAUGCUCAAUGGUCUUGUAAUUAAAUGUUACACACUUGAUGAGCAUUGCAUUGCAAGCCUCAAGGCUAAUUUACAUGUUACCACCAAAAUGUCUUAUUUCAGUUUGCUUGUAAAAAUACUGUACAGGCAUCGUUGCAUGUCAUUGCAAAUGGUUUGUUUCAGUGAUGCUUGGGUAAGCCUCACAUUACUAAAAGCUGUACAUAAUUACUGCUAAAGAGCUCUGUACAGAACCAAUAAUACUUCCCCCACAAUAGCUGUUUUAUUACUGAGAUGGCUUUCCUGAUGUGACCGACAAUGCUAGGAUCAGAAACAAGCAGCCUGCCAGCUAAUAAAGAAUAGCAUUUUGGGGAAACAAAGUAGUUUGAAUCAAUUAUGGUAUUAUGUACAUAAUUAGAGUCUGUGUCACUUUUCCAACAGUUGCCCAUAAUUCACAACAGUAAGGCAGGGUAGGAGGAAGGGGAGAAUAAUGACAGUAGAUAGAAGAAAGUUGUAUGAGUAGCCAUGGGUCUGAUGAUGUUAUAAGGUAUUUACUAGCACAUUUACAUGCUUUAUGUUGUAGAAGUUACUCUUAGCGAUUUGGGGCCACGACUCAUGUCAGUGUAUUCGUGAUGGAUGAGUGAUGAGAGAAAAAGCUUCUCGAGCCUCCAGGAUCCAUUUAGCACACGUAGCUUUCUCAGUUCCUUGUUUUGAGAAGGUCAUCCCACAAGUAACAUUUCAACAGAGGCAUAUCAGAUGGACCGAACUGAGGUUUCUUGCCAUUCACAAUUUCUUUAAUACUUAUUCGACUGACUUCAAAGCGAUGCUAAAGCACUGCAACCAUUUAUUGGAAUAUAUUAAUAAUAAUAAAUCAGAAUUUCAUUCACUGAAUUCAAGCUUUUAAGAAAAAAAUAACCUUGUGUAGAAGCAGAAAAAAGGCAGAGAGAUAUUAGAUGACUUACCCAGUUUGCAGCAAUGCGAGUGGAGAAUAAGAGACAGACACUCUGGCCCCUGUCCUUUCUUCCAAAUCAUGUUUCUUGUGUUUGUGCCACAGUGAAAUGAUUUUGCAUAUGUCCUGUCUUGGAAAUAUGAAAAAUAUAUGCAAUAUGCAAAGCAGCCGAUGGGUCUGCAUUUCAGAAUCUAUCAUCAUUUAGGAAGUCUUGAAGCCUAAAGAGAUUGCAUGCAACUAAUUGCACACAGUCCAAGAGACUAGAGCACAUUACUGCCAAUUUGUAAACAAAACCCAGCAUGCAAAAGUGCUUAGGCCAGUGGGGUGAGUUUCCAUCGAUAAAGGACAGGCAGUGUACAAAUGCAACGCAACACAAUUCUUACACUUCAGCCUUUAAGAAUUGUGCUGACCCUCCAACAAAAUGGAGUAAUGCAGAGUCACUGAAUGCAGCUAGGCUUCGCCACUGGUAAAUAUUUUACAUAAUCCAAAUGAAGAAAUCCAUGAAAACGCUGAAAGAAUAAUUAAAAGUCAUCCAGUGCAAAAAGUCCUUUAAGAUUUAAAUCCUGGCAAACACAUAAAAAUGGAUUAUGUUGGUAAACUGUGAAUCAUUCCAAACAUGGGACUGCAAAGCAAAACUCCCAUUAUUUCUUGAUUCUGACCAUCAAAUGAUCUUUGUUAUGAAUAUGCUCAUCCUGGUGGCUGGCCAACACCUGACUUGACUCCUUAUCCAAUGCUGUCUAGCUCCCUUUGUAUCACUGCUGCUUCCAUCCCAUAUCUUACUGUUCCCCUCUGUUAUGUUCAAUAAACAUAAUAUGCUUGGUGCCACUGCUGAUCUGCUGAGCCAGUCAGUGUCCAGCUCAGUGACUCAGACUUGAUCUCGGCUUCAAAAGAAAAAUGACGAUGUCUGUCUUUCUAGAUUUGAACCCCUCCAGUGAGUAGUAUCACAGAUGUGAUAUGGAUGCUCAGUAAUUACUGAAACAGCAGUUUGUCACAAGCUGCUGGGGGCACUGAUGGACUAGUGCUCUGUGGCUAUAGUUAUGGGAAGGAAGAUGUAAGAAAAUAUGGUAAUUGUGACAGGCUCAGCUUAGUGUUGUUUGGGUUUUCUUUUCAGGGAUAAAACGUUCAUGUGGAAGCCACGCAUAUAGAGAGCUAGGUACCUAUUUUAAUCUGUCGUUCUUUCCACCUCUAUGAUAUUUAAUAUACAUGCAAAAAUUAUUCUAAUGUAAAUGAGAAUCUGGGCCAGGCAGUGGCCACAUCUACGCUAAGCGCAAUUUGUAUCUCUGAAGUUCACAUACAUCAGCAGUUUCCUAAACAAGUAGAUUUGGCUCUUGGGGAAGAACAGAACAGCCUGCAUAUCCCAGCCACCCUCCACACCGGUGCCACUAGGGGGUCCUUAUGAUGCUGAAUAAAUAACAAAUCCCUUCUCCACAGCCGUGAGCUUUGUAGCCGAUCCAGAGCUUACUGCAGCAUGCAGGCACUUCCCUGUGCCCUGUGAACAUGAAAAAAACCACAGAAAUCUAAAACUUCACUCUUUGUGUAAACCAGCUCUGCUUUUUAUUCUUUCUCUCCUCUUAUCUUGUAGUGCAAAUGCAGCUUCAGAAAUGAACAAGAACAUCAAAAUCCACAGAUUGUUAAGUAAAUUCAAGACUGAGAGAGGAUGAAAGGAAAAUAAAAAUGGACCUGGAGCCUGUAGGCUUUGGAUGAAGCUUUACAGGAGUUGCAAAGGAUGCUGCUGCAAUGGGGACCCAUCUGGGGUCGACAGGCUCGACUUGCUGCACAGCCGAAAAAGCAGUAUUUAGAGGUGGCAAUGCUCUGCGUGGCUCAAGCAUUAUUAAUAGCACUUUGUUUCAUAGCUUCAUAGUAUUUAAACCAUACUGUUCCCAUUACUGAAGACAUUUUGUUUUCUGAGAUCUAUCUGUCUCCCCCAAAGUAAAACAUUAUAUUUCCAUCCAGCAUUUUUUUUCUAAGUUGCACUUGACUAGUAAUAGGUUUCCUUGAAAAGCCAUCAGUGAAUUUAUGGCACAAAGAGCUACGUCUCUCCAGCCUUUAUUAAUUCAGACAUACAAAAUCUAAGCAUCUACAUGUUGCGGUUGUUGUUUGUUGCGCUGCUGCAAACUGAUAGCAUUUCACCAAAAAGCUCUCGUGUCUGCAGCUAUCCUAUUUUCUCUCGUGUCACUCAAGCGAACCGCCUUGCAGCUCACCCGCACCGAGGUCGGAGCAGAGCCGCAGGAGCCUGCAGAACCCACAGGGGGCUGUCGUGCCAGGCACCCGCUCAGCCCCCGGGACCUGUGGGUGAGGAUGCGAGCAGAGCUUCCCAGCACUGCUGGGAGCCAAACGGGCUUUUGCCUGAGUGAGUUCUGGGGGAUGGGGCAUUCGUUCAGAGGCACAAACUCCUUCAAUACUGGAUGUGCUCAGAAGAUGGAAAUUAGCAAUAUUACAAAUUCAGAAAGCAGCAGACGAGCUUGUAACGUAGCGAACAGGAGCUCACCCCUCUUUUUGAGCAGCUGCUCCCAACGCAACAAGCCCUCUGACCAGUGCCACUGUAGCCUUUGACCUUAUUCAUUAGAGAUAUUCUGAUGUACUGUGAGCAGUAUGGAACAAUGUUCAUAUGUUCGUUUAUGGGUUAACCCUAUCCUUAUUAGAUUUGUACUUUCCAACCUGAAGUUAUGAAAGUUUGGCCGGCACGCUGGGUUUUGCCCUCCCUUUCUGCUCUCUCAGCCACUGAAGUAAUCUCAAGCUAUCCUUUUCAACUGAACUUUUUUAAGUGUUGCUUUUAUCUCUAGUUGCCAGUGUCUUUAAGAACUUAACCCCUAUACCUCUUACAGCCAUCUCUAGCUUCUGGAAAGCAAGAAGACUUCUACUUCCUGCACCUGUUGCCAGAUUCACUGUGGUUUCCCAGCACUGAAGAACCAGUGUGUACUGAGCAAUACUGAUGCUAUACUGGGUUACCAAGGGGUAUGAAGAUGUGAUUAGUCAAUGUCACAAAGAUUUUGGAGAGCAAAACAGAGGAGGAGGAAAGAGUAAUACUUCCUUUAGCCUUCAUCUUCUGCCUUCCCGUGACAUCUGUCCUGCACAAUUUGCGGGCAGUCACAGUGUGCACUUCCUUCUCCUGCAGAGGCUCUGCUUCUUUUGGAAAAGGCUUCCACAAGGAUACCAGCAGCAUUAAAAUCUCACUUGGUCCACUUGUAUUUUUUUACCAGCCCUGUUUGAUUGCCCUAGAAAAACAGGGAAGAAUAUUUUCCUUGCUCUCAAGAGUAAAGUCCUCCAUUAUCAUGUCAUGAAGGGAAACGGACUGUUUGGUAGCUAAGGAAAAAUGCUGACUUUAAACCUGAGAUAAGGUUCUAUCAUUUACACUAAUGAGCUCACUGGUGGCAAAUCUGUAAGAUUUUAUGAUAAAAAGUAGCUGUAAGUCAGUAUUUGAUGGAAUUUUCUAUUUCUUCUUUUUUUUUUUUUUUGCUGAAAAUACAUCUAACUACUAAUAAUUUUCCCAUCCAAAUCCGGGGAGGAAUAAAUGCAGUGAGAAUCAUCCCAGACUGAGUUCAAAGAUUUGUCUAGCUUCCCUCCAUGCUAUGCCCAUCACUUUGUACCGAGUACAGAUGAAAUGCUGAAGUGUUGCAACUUUUCUGUGAGAGGAGCAGCCGCUAGAGGGGAGGAUGUACACUGUGAAGUCCCCAUCAGUACCCUGUCACUGAGGCUUCCUCAGAAUUUUUUGCACCUGAAAGAAAACCUGCUGGUAUCCUAUCUGGGUGACUUUCAUGGCAUCAGUAAAUACCAAAGAGACCUGCCCCUAAAGAAGAUGCUCUCUCAAGGUAAGACUGAAAUCCAAAUUACUUUAAAAUAGGAAAGAAAGAAAAGCUUGGCAAUGCUAUGGAUACAUGGACAAUUACAGCUAUAUAAACCAGAUUGUUUAAUGAUUGUCUCAAGGAUAGUUUUUUCAAGUAUCUUUUACACUGAGCUAAUAUUUUUCUCACUUUUAACUUUAUCCAAUGUAAUGUGUAAAUGGGAGAUUAGAAGUCGAAGACUGUAUUGCAGGCACCCAAUGAAAAGCAGCAGAUGACACUGCCCACAUUGUCUUAAUAAAUUUGUUCUUCAGAAGGUGCAGAACCCAAUAGCCAUGCAGUCCAGUGAUCCUUCGAGGUCAACAGUUUUAUAUUCAUUUACUGCUGCAGUCCCCACUUUGGUAAAGAUCAUCUAUCAGUUUCCCUGUUAUCCUCCUGCUUACAGCUACCUGUUAAGAUCAAAAAUGCUCAUUUCUGAGAUUGAGAUUUGCCACAAUUGCAACUGGAAAACACGAUUUUUUAUUUAAACAUUUUAUCACAAUCUUUGUGGACGUUUUAAAAUACAUCAAAAUACUGGGAAAACACUAAGGUUAUUUUGUUUGAUAGUCUCUGGGCAGAAGUAAGACCUGAAAGCAGAAAGUCAGAACUAUUUUUCAAUAGGAAGCAGGGCAUGAUUAAACUCGGGAACCAACCUGGUUUAAUUGGACCAAAUACAAUUACAGAAUGUUUGGAUAUGAAUAUAUGCAACUGUCUGUCUGGCAGUUAUUCUUGGGUGCACACCUCGGAAAGCUUAUGCACUCUUCAGCUGUUCAUGUUACUGGCUGGGUUUUACCCUCUGUGCCUGCUUUCUCCUACAAGAAGUAACCACAGGAGAAUUCCCUUGGCCCAGUGCUGUUCCCCACUGGCAUCUGAAGCAGCCUGCCUGUGCCAUUCUGUCUUUGCUCUGCUGUGCAAAACCUGUGCUGGCAGGCGCACAGUGCAGCAAGUCUGCAGCCAUUCUUAUUCCAUAGGGAGUGGGCUGACAGAUCGCUGCUGCUGGUUGGGACCCCAACAGCUUAUUUGUUCCUGCUGUGCGCUCUCACUGGACUCGACCUACUCUCUGAGAUACCUUAAUUGCUUGCUGUGGAAGCUGAAGGUGACACUGUAAGCAAAUCACCAUAAACACAUGCAAAUCUCUCUUACAACUGCAAAUCAAACAGUUGAAGUAGUGCACAGUAUAGGUCAGCAAGAGCUCUUUUGCUGUAAAUCUCAUUUUCACACAUCUUCAGACUUUGUACAAGAUCCCAGCAAUGCUAGGGAAGAGGGGUAUCUGAGGUUUAUAAGGGCAAAUAUGAAUCCCUGAAUUGCCUUUCUGUGGUUCAACUAAUAUGGCAGAGAACAAACUGCAUUUUCAGAACUGUGAACAAACCACAUUUCAUAUAAGUUAUCUGCUUACAGGCCAGACCUUGUAUUUAUAACUUAAGAAGGAUUAAAUCAAAAGGCAAGCAGUCCGUGAAAGGGUGGUUUUAUACACAGCCAGCUAAACUCUUGAUAAAUCGUUCUCUUGAAGGAAAAAAUAAAGGCUUCCAAUAGAUUCUUCUGUACUUGUUUUCAGAGAAGCUUAUGGUGUCUCUCCUUAGAGGCUUUCUUUAUGAGGAAAGCUAGUUAAAUGCCUAGUGAGACUGAGUUUCCAAGGGUGAUCUCCCUAGAACAGGAUUAGGGUUCACUGACAACGUAAUGCAGGGCAGGUAAUGCUGCUGUUGCUCAUGGCUUAAACUGCUUUAUGGCUAAAUCAUAUUUCAGUUUCUAGAGGUAUCAGUUGGUACCUCUGAGCUUUCAACUUGCUUCUGUAAGGUAAAAAAACAAACAGGUUUUUUGGUCUUCCCGUAUUUUUUUCUGGACUAAAACAAGCAGCUCUCUCACUGCCUGAGCAGGACAGUAACCAGUCCUGAAAUGGAUCAUCAGAAAUUUAUGAGGAUCACUCAAUUAUUUUGUUUCCCUCCAGAUUAUUUCCAAGUUGGUGCUUUUCUUCAAGCACAGGUGAAGCAUUAGGGGAGUUUUACAGACUGACAGUCCAUUCUGAAUCUGUAAACCAGAGCAGCCAAGCAGCCACAAAGGCAGCUCAGGGCUAGUUAGCACGAGGUGAAUGGUUCACACGUUUUCUCCACAUCCACAGAAAUGGUUUUUGAAAACAAAGCCAAAAAAACCACUAUAGUUUCAGUCUAAUACCAAUAACAAAUACUAUAGUUUGUUAAUACAUUGAUACUCUUGCCAUUGUAUCUGAACCAAUUGCCCUAUUCUAUCUCAGCGACAUUGAUUAACAAAACAGUUUGUAAUUAGAUGGAGUCGUGUAAUUCAUGGCCCUCUGUAAACAUCUGGAUUUGCAAAUCUGCACUCCUAGCUUGGGAGCUCUGUCACACAUCACUAAUUAAGCCACAUUCUUAUAUACCAGUACAUACAUCCUCCUGCUGAGCAUCCUUUCUUUGUUCCCAGUACAAAUAACAGCCUGUUGUCAAUACAGAGAAAACCAUCAUAACUGCCUAGCUCAGCGUGUGACAUUUAUUGAAAAUGAAAUAACAUCUCAUUUGCAUGACUGGCAUUACUUUAUUAAAGCCAGAGCUGCAGAAGCUGGGUGCUACAGUGCAAGUCAAGUGUGCAAGGCUGACAGUCCGUAAGUGCAUAGGAACGAUGGUGUCCAGCACAGGGAGGUUGGCACUCCCCCCUGCCUGUCUGCCCACCUCCUGUUUGUAGGGUAGGGCUUCUAGCAAAUCGACAGACCUAUUCCUUUUCCCAGCCCCCCCCCCCCCCUCCCAGUCCUUGUUCUCCCUGUUACCUCCAUCCCACGGAGCUGGGAACCAGAGCCCCCCUUGCUUCUCCCAGAGGAGUUCCCCAGAAUCAUCAUGGGCUGGGAUCAUCAGCUCCAGCUGAGGAGGAACCCAUCAGAAGUGCUACAGGAAGCAGCGCAGUAGCACAGGAGCUGUGUCUGUUGUGCAGGGGAAGUGCCUUAAAAGAGGAAUAUUUUUUCAGUGUCAGAAGAACGCAGCUGAGCACUCAGAACUUUGAACAGACAAAGUUGUGCUCCUUCAGUCUGCAUUUCCCUCUGCCAUUUCACCAGCAUUGAUAAGGAAGCAAAAUCCUUAUUGUGGCCGAUUCUGAUCUGCUUUAACCCCUUAGACAUAUUUAGAAAUAACGAGUUUAUGUGAAGAAACUUUCUGAUUCUGACCUUGGCGCCCAGUUCGGCAGCGAUACAGCAGAGAGGAGAAGCUGCCAGCGGGACGGCUCCUGGCAGCAUGUGGGCGGCUCCUCCCCCUCCUUUUCUUUUCACACUUCUCAGCGGAGUUUUUCUUUCUGCUAUCUCCGAUGCCGCUCCGCCCGUCUUCCUUCCCCCGUCUCCUUGCCGCAGUCGCGCUGCCCCCGGCCGCCUCGGUGCUGCUGCCCGUCCCGCAGCGGUACCCGACUCCCGCACGGUCCGAGGCCAUCGGCUACGCGCAACCCGACCCCCGUGCCGCCCCAGCUUUGAACGAUAUUUAACUUCCAGAGAGGAUGCUACCAACUCCAGUUGAUUUUAAUUUCUGCAUACAAGUUUACUUAUGCACGCUUCUGUCACUUAGAAAAGUUUUGUCGCAGCGCUCAUAGUUCACAGUGAAUCCCUUCUGCUCCGGUCCGGAUUUGGCGGCACCUCCGGCACGGACGCGGCGCGGGGUCCGUCGGGCCGGGAGCGCCUCUCCGCAACCAGAAGGGCGGCGGGGCCGGACCGGCGCCAGGAGCUCCCUGGCAGCGGGGCGCCGUGCUGCUCCAAGAGGGCUCUGUGAGCGAGGAAAGUUUCUUGCUUACGGCCGGGACCGCGCCUCUCGCUCGAGCCCCUCCGCUCCUGCGGAACGAGACGGCGCGGUCAGGACGUCGGCCCGUAACGCGGGCGGGGCCGGCUGCAGGGAUCGCCGCGCGCCCCGACGGUGCUGCUCGGAGGCGGCGGGAGGCCCCCACC
ensembl:lncRNA